UGCAAGUCGAACGAGACAAAGGUGCUUGCACCUUUAGAAAGUGGCGAACGGGUGAGUAACGCGUGGGUAACCUGCCCUAUGGAAAGGAAUAGCCUCGGGAAACUGGGAGUAAUGCCUUAUAGUAUAUAGAGGUCGCAUGAUUUUUAUAUGAAACGCUCCGGCGCCAUAGGAUGGACCCGCGUCCCAUUAGCUGGUUGGUGAGAUAACAGCCCACCAAGGCGACAAUGGGUAACCGGUCUGAGAGGGCGAACGGUCACACUGGAACUGAGACACGGUCCAGACUCCUACGGGAGGCAGCAGUGGGGAAUAUUGCGCAAUGGGGGAAACCCUGACGCAGCAAUACCGCGUGAGUGAAGAAGGUUUUCGGAUCGUAAAGCUCUGUUAUUGGGGAAGAAAAAAAGACGGUACCCAAGAAGAAAGUCCCGGCUAACUACGUGCCAGCAGCCGCGGUAAUACGUAGGGGACAAGCGUUGUCCGGAUUUACUGGGCGUAAAGGGCACGCAGGCGGUUUUUUAAGUCAGAUGUGAAAGGUACCGGCUCAACCGGUGACAUGCAUUUGAAACUGAAAGACUUGAGUAUUGGAGAGGCAAGUGGAAUUCCUGGUGUAGCGGUGAAAUGCGUAGAUAUCAGGAGGAACACCGGUGGCGAAGGCGGCUUGCUGGACAAAUACUGACGCUGAGGUGCGAAAGCGUGGGGAGCAAACAGGAUUA
rnacentral:rRNA from 1 species